CGAGAGCCUGACGGAGCAACGCCGCGUGAGGGAUGGAGGCCUUUGGGCUGUAAACCUCUUUUCUCAAGGAAGAAGAUCUGACGGUACUUGAGGAAUAAGCCACGGCUAAUUCCGUGCCAGCAGCCGCGGUAAUACGGGAGUGGCAAGCGUUAUCCGGAAUUAUUGGGCGUAAAGCGUCCGCAGGCGGCCGUUUAAGUCUGUUGUUAAAUCGUGGAGCUCAACCCCAUCACGGCAAUGGAAACUGUUCGGCUUGAGUAUGGUAGGGGCAGAGGGAAUUUCCGGUGUAGCGGUGAAAUGCGUAGAUAUCGGGAAGAACACCAGUGGCGAAAGCGCUCUGCUGGGCCAUUACUGACGCUCAUGGACGAAAGCCAGGGGAGCGAAAGGGAUUAGAUACCCCUGUAGUCCUGGCCGUAAACGAUGAACACUAGAUGUUGGGGGAAUCGACCCCCUCGGUGUCGUAGCUAACGCGUUAAGUGUUCCGCCUGGGGAGUACGCACGCAAGUGUGAAACUCAAAGGAAUUGACGGGGGCCCGCACAAGCGGUGGAGUAUGUGGUUUAAUUCGAUGCAACGCGAAGAACCUUACCAAGGCUUGACAUCCUGCGAAUCUCUAAGAAAUUAGAGAGUGCCUUCGGGAACGCAGUGACAGGUGGUGCAUGGCUGUCGUCAGCUCGUGUCGUGAGAUGUUGGGUUAAGUCCCGCAACGAGCGCAACCCACGUUUUUAGUUGCCAGCAUUCAGUUGGGCACUCUAGAAAGACUGCCGGUGACAAACCGGAGGAAGGUGUGGACGACGUCAAGUCAUCAUGCCCCUUACGCCUUGGGCUACACACGUACUACAAUGCUGCGGACAAAGAGUAGCGAUCUUGCGAAAGUUAGCUAAUCUCAUAAACCGUGGCUCAGUUCAGAUCGUAGGCUGCAACUCGCCUACGUGAAGGAGGAAUCGCUAGUAAUCGCAGGUCAGCAUACUGCGGUGAAUACGUUCCCGGGCCUUGUACACACCGCCCGUCACACCAUGGAAGUUGGCCAUGCCCGAAGUCGUUACUCUAACCUUUUGGAAGAGGGCGCCGAAGGCAGGGCUAAUGACUGGGGUGAAGUCGUAACAAGGUAGCCGUAGCGGAAGCUGCGGCUGGAUCACCUCCUAA
rnacentral:rRNA from 1 species